rnacentral:lncRNA from 1 species
AAAGCUUCCUAGACUGUGUCAGCUACCUCGGCAGAAGGGCCCUCACCCCAUCGGAGUGCCAGAGACCUGCACGUGGAAGACUUUGGCAGCUUCCGAAGACCUGUGUCCACAGAGCACCAGCACCUUUCUAAGCUUGCUAAGUGCAGGCUGAUGAACGGAUGAGGCAUCUCCAUCCUGGUACUGACUCCUCGAAGGAUCCACUCUUGAGACAGAUGGGAAGUUGUCUAGGGAGCCCAGAACAAGAUCUCCAGUCUAACUGGUUGCAUUGCUUCCCUUUCACUGAUCUAGGCUUACCCCACUACUUACCAGCCCAGUGCAAACCUCCCAUCCCUGGGAAACACAACAGAGAGGGCGGAAGUUGGCCAACUCAAAGAAACACCUGGAGAACAACAGCAUCUCAGCAUCUUUUUUCCCCCCAAUUAUGUUUUUGAUUCUCACAGGGAGUGGAAAUUCCAUAGAGGACCCAGCAGGUGAUCACCUUUGGGCUAUGGACAAAGACCACAUGUUUGUGCCACCAGUUAAGCCACCUGUUUUUGUGUCUCAGCCAAACACAAUAAGCUACCUAUCUGAAUAGAAGACACAAUGAGUCAUGAGCCCCAGAAACUCACUUUCGUGAGAAGGUGUGAUCCAUGCCUGUGCGUAUAAUCUGGCCAUGACCGCAAAAUACCACUGCUGGCUUUCUGAGAGGUAAUUCAACAUCAUGUCCCUCAGGGCUUGGGAGAGCCUUCCCAAACUGCCAGGAGAAACCAUAAAGCAUCGAGCUUGCCGUGCCACUGAGGAAUGUGUUGCCAGUGUCUCCCACAACUGGGGACACCUAGCCACCUGGAGAGUCCCAGCUUCCCUCCUCGACUUUAGUUCUUGGUCCUCGGCAGCAGCUGUCGACACACCGAGUCAAGCUGAUUAGAACUGGGAACAAAAGAUUUUUGUUUGAAGCUUGAGAUUUUUUAAGAUAGAGAAAUGGUGCCUUCAAGUGAUGACAGGGCUUGCAAUCACUCCUGAAAGCCGACAGGAAGCUUCCAAAGCACACACCGGACCCUUUGCCUUCCUGUUCCACUUUGCAUUCUGCUAAUGGCAGGAUGAAAACUUUGAUGUCAGCGUGGUCAGGAGUGGUUAAGCACACAAUAGGCUGUUUGUUUAAGGAACUGGUUAGUCUCUCCAUUCUGUGAUAACUUUUCAGAGCUUCCUACUUCAUUAUAUAUUUUUUUAAAUUAUAGAAAAGUUGCAGGGAUAGUACAAAGAGCCCAUUACCCUUUAUAAGAACUUAAUAAUUAAAGUGAAUAUUUCAUCUCAUUGAAUAUCUUUUUCCCUUUCCUGUAUAUGUGCAUAUAUACAGAUAUGUGGAAACAGUGACAAGCAGCCCAGGGACACUUUGGUAGCUGGAAAUUCGCAUUUAAAGUUCAUUUAGGUGGGCAGUGUAGGUGGGCAGUCUGGACAGUCACCGUAUGCUUGCUAAUGCAACACCUUGAAAAGGGACAUCAAGAUCCAUUCUUAGUAAUGGAGGCAUCAGGUUGAAGGCCAAAGCAAUAGAAAGUGCCCACAGCCCACUCUCUCCCCCAGUCCUCCAAUCUGGGUAUUUCUCGAACUUACUGUGUUGCUCAUUACAGUAUUGUUUACUUACCACCAGAGGACUGUCACCCAAGAGAAACAGUGUGUACAAGGCAGGCAGGCAAUCGGACAUCAGCAAGAGCCUCCAUUAGGUCAGAGUGGAUUGUCCUUUUGAUAUUUUGAGAGAAAGAAAAGAUGAGUAAGAGACAUGCAGGUUUGAACUGUGGGAGGACUUUAGAAUUCUUCUGUGCUGUGGUAACGGCCAGGAAAGGCAGGGCUACGAGGCAGAGUUUUUCUCCAUUCACUGGUCUUUUCCUGUAUGUGUUUUCUUUCCUUAAUGUUUCAGUUUCCCCCUCUUGUCUUUGUAUUUCUAUUUCUUUUUUUUUUUAUUUCUUUAUCCUUCCCUGGUUCUCUUCCCUAGCCAUCUUUCCUCCUUUUUAAGAAUGUGUUCAUCUUUGCAGCCAUUUCCCUAGGCCUUUCAUCUUUCUGUCCUGGCUCGUCUUGUAUGUUUUUAAAAGCAUCUUCCGAACCUGUGGAUGACAGAGCACAUGUUUCUUUCCUUUGCUGGUUUUGAUUUUAUACAGAGUCCUGCUAUGUAGCUCUGGCUGGCUCAGCACUCACUGUGUAGACCAGGCUGGACUUGAAUUUGCGGGCAUCCUCCUGCCGCUGAGUACUGGGAUUACCGAUGUGGUUGGCACAUCUGACUCAAGAUGAACUCCUCUCUUCCUCCUAACACGAGGCAGAAUGUGAGAGAGUCAGUUCUGUGUGGUUGGGCAUCACUGAUCGCCAGCUACUUCUGGCCUGUCUCUGAAAAUUUUACUCCAGAAUAGAGUUGUCCUAAUGGUCUCCCUGGAGUUCCUUCCUACCUCACGCCACAGUGGUCUCCCUGCCAUUGUGCAAACACUCACAGUGUACACAUGCAUGCAUGUUUGUUUGCACGGGUGGGAUUUGAUGCAGCCUUUUAUCUGCAUUUUGCCCUCAAGAAACUUAGUUGUGGGCUUUUGGGGUAGAAC